rnacentral:rRNA from 1 species
AUUGAACGCUGGCGGCAUGCUUUACACAUGCAAGUCGAGCGGCAGCGCGGGGGCAACCCUGGCGGCGAACGGCGAACGGGUGAGGAACACAUCGGAACGUGCCCCGGAGUGGGGGAUAACGCCGCGAAAGCGGCGCUAAUACCGCAUAUGCUCUGAGGAGGAAAGCGGGGGACCAGCAAUGGCCUCGCGCUCUGGGAGCGGCCGAUGUCCGAUUAGCUAGNGGUGGGGUAAUGGCCCACCAAGGCGACGAUCGGUAGCUGGUCUGAGAGGAUGAUCAGCCACACUGGGACUGAGACACGGCCCAGACUCCUACGGGAGGCAGCAGUGGGGAAUUUUGGACAAUGGGGGCAACCCUGAUCCAGCCAUGCCGCGUGC